AUUGAACGCUGGCGGCAGGCCUAACACAUGCAAGUCGAACGAGUGGCGGACGGGUGAGUAAUAUAUGGGAACCUGCCUGCUGGAGGGGGAUAACUACUGGAAAAGGUAGCUAAUACCGCAUACCAUGGGAAGUGCACAGAUGGGAUUAGCUAGUUGGUGGGGUAAAGGCUCACCAAGGCGACGAUCCCUAGCUGAUCUGAGGGGAUGACCAGCCACACUGGAACUGAGCCACGGCCCAGCCUCCUACGGGAGGCAGCAGUGGGGAAUAUUAGACAAUGGGCGGAAGCCUGAUGCAGCCAUGCCGCGUGUAUGAAGAAGGCCUUCGGGUUUUAAAGUACUUUCAGCGGGGAGGCGUUACCCGCUGAAGAAGCACCGGCUAACUCCGUGCCAGCAGCCGCGGUAAUAC
rnacentral:rRNA from 1 species